rnacentral:lncRNA from 1 species
CAGAGUCCCUCCACUAAAGCGCCUCCUGUCAGGCCGUUUGAAUCCCAAGUUCCACACAGGAAGAGGAGGGGCCAGGCCCCUCCCCGAUGCAAAGGGCGUGAACUUCCUGAGGCUCUACCUCAGUGGGCAGGCUGGUGGGAGUUUCUCCAGGGACCCGCUCACAUCUGGCUGUCUCGGUAAGAAUCAUCAUUUCCUAGCCUGGUCACCCCAGCUUACAAGUAUGCAUUAUUCAAAAGUGGAAUGCCAUGAAACUGAGGGCUACCGAGGUGGACAGAACACCAAGGCUAAGGAGUGGGGAAGAGUGGCUUUGAGAGAAGCUGAUGGAAUAAUUCCACCUUGGGGAUUUAUGUCCUAAUCAUCCGUGAGUGAUUCUUUGUGACAGACGUCACUUGGGGGAGGCAUCUUAACACUGAGUCUACUAAGCCACCACUGAAAAUGGGAGAAGGUGUGAAGCAUGGAGGAUACUAUGGUCAAUGUCCCUUUCCUACUGAAAGAAGGUCCUUUCCAUGUCACACCAGCUGUUGCCUUCCCUGCCUCUCUUGCAAUAAGGGGAGGCCAUGUGAUUCAAUCAAACAGGGACAGGAAUCUCCUGGAAGGACUUCCGGGGAAGGUGUUCCUCCCUGGUAAGAGAGAAAUGUGAGGAGAGCUGUUUGGCUGCCCUGGCUGACCCCUCCCUACCUUUCUUCGUUGGACACUUCUGCAUGAGAACCUGAAAGCGAUUGCGACCAUCUCGUGACCACAGACAGUGAGCCUGAAGAUGAGAGGCCAAUAGACUGUGGAUUAUACAGUCUCGUCUGGGCUCUCAGUGAGUCACCUGCCUGCUGUGGUAUGGAGAAGCCCAGCUCUUCUCCGUCUGGCCUGAAGGUUGUCAGCCUGUUGGAAGGGCAGCUGGAGCACAGCCCUGUGAGCUGAGGGUUCAAGGCUGGGAGAAUGGAGGCAGCCAGGCACCUAUGACCCAGAUCGUGGGGGCAGGGCCAGAGAUGUUGAGCCAUCCAGGGUUUAGUGGCUAUGGCUAGGGUGGGAAGAGUCUUUGAGUCAGAGUCCAGGGCGAGACCUCCCUCCCACCUGUUCCUCCUUUCUCCCCUGCCUUGAAUUGGCUGGAAAAUACGGAACUGGGAGGUCUGUGCAAUUUCAGUUGGAAAAAUAAGAUAGCAGGAUGGCUCACCCUGGGCACAGAUAGGUUCACUGUGUAUUUUUUUUUGUUUUGUUUUUAACCCUUUUGUGUCCCCUGCUGGACCAUCAGACCUUUGAGGACAGAGACUAUGUCUUACUCAGACUUGUAUCCCCAGCACGUGGUCAAGGAUCCACCCAAAGCACAAAAUCCACCAGAGGGAAAACUGUAGGGGCUCCUGAGAGUCCAGGGGGCAAAUGAAGACGUUUGUACUCAGGGCCUAAAUGUUUGGACAUAAGCCCUGACUUCAGCUUCAUCUGACUUUCCUGCCAUUGUUUUUAUUUUACCUUUUUUUUUUUUUUUUUGAGGUGGAGUCUUGCUCUGUCGCCCAGGCUGGAGUGCAGUGGCACGAUCUCGGCUCACUGGAACCUCCACCGUCCUGGUUCAAGCAAUUCCCCUGUCUUAGCCUCCCAAGUAGCUGGGAUUACAGGUGCAUGCCACCACGCCCAGCUAAUUUUUUUGUAUUUUUAGUAGAGACGGGGUUCCACCAUGUUGGCCAGACUGGUCUGGAGCUCCUGACCUCAGGCAAUCCGCCCACCUCGGCCUCCCAAAGUGCUGGGAUUACAGACAUGAACCACCAUGCCCAACCUAUUUUACCUUUUCUUGUUACUUAAUGUUACAUUAACAUAUAAUUAAUAUUAACAUAUCAUAUUAAUAUAUGUUUUAUAUAUAGCAUGUAUUUUAAAUACUUACUGGAAGAAGUUAGCAUCAUGAAUGAAAGAGUGACUAGCCCAGCAUAGCACUGAAUAAUUCCCUCAUUGCUGUGAUUGAGAGAUUACAUUUUCUGGGUCUCUCAUUACUCCUUAUUAGAUAAAUCUGCUCCUAUGGUGCCUAAGAUUUAACUGUGCCCAAUAUAAAUAUUUUCUUGGCAGGCUGGGUGCAGUGGCUCAUGCCUGUAAUCCCAGCACUUUGGGAGGCUGAGGCAGGUGGAUCAUUUGAGGUCAGGAGUUUGAGACCAGCCUGGCCAACAUGGCAAAACUCCGUCUCUACUAUAAAUACAAAAUUAGCUGGGUGUGGUGGCACAUGCCUGUAAUCCCAGCUACUCGGGAGGCUGAGACAUGAGAAUCGCUUGAAAUGGGGGGUGGAGGUUGCAGUGAGCCAAGAUCAUGCCGUUGCACUCCAGCCUGGGGGACAGCACGAGACUGUCUCAAAAACAAAACACAAUAAAGACUUUCUUAGCUAUUCAGACAUGGCUUUCUCUUAAUGUCCUGCUGGUGUUCCCUCAGAAAGGCCACUGUUAGCCAUUUCUUCUUCUCUGGGCUCAUUUUCCCACCCUGCAUUAUUUGAAACCAAAUCACCUGUUAAAAAAGAGGUGGGCUGUCCUGGGCCCCUUCUAGGGCUGGCAUCUAAAAUUCUGUCUCAAGACCAUAAGUUCCCUGGAGAGGCCCUUGUCUGACUUUCUCCCCCUGCCUCCUCACUGUCCCUUUGUCCCACAGCAAUCCCUCUCCCCAUCCUUAGC